CUCGUAGGCGGCCAACUAAGUCAGACGUGAAAUCCCUCAGCUUAACUGGGGAACUGCGUCUGAUACUGGAUGGCUUGGAUUCGGGAGAGGAAUGCGGAGUUCCAGGUGUAGCGGUGAAAUGCGUAGAUAUCUGGAGGAACACCGGUGGCGAAGGCGGCAUUCUGGACCGAUAUUGACGCUGAGGAGCGAAAGCCAGGGGAGCAAACG
rnacentral:rRNA from 1 species